AUUGAACGAUGGCGUCCGGCCUAACACUUGCAAGUCGCGCGAGCGGCGGACGGGUGAGUAAUGUAUGGGGACUGCCCGAUAGAGGGGGAUAACUACUGGAGACGGUAGCUAAUACCGCAUACUAUCGGAUAACCCAUAUGGGUUUAGCUAGUAGGUGAGGUAAUGGCUCACCUAGGCGACGAUCCCUAGCUGGUCUGAGAGGAUGGUCAGCCACACGGGGACUGAGACACGGCCCAGACUCGUACGGAGGCAGCAGUGGGGAAUAUUGCACAAUGGGCGCAAGCCUGAUGCAGCCAUGCCGCGUGUAUGAAGAAGGCCCUAGGGUUGUAAAGUACUUUCAGUCGGGAGGCGUUACCGACAGAAGAAGCACCGGCUAACUCCGUGCCAGCAGCCGCGGUAAUAC
rnacentral:rRNA from 1 species